CAGAGUGAAACAGGUAAUGGAGAGCACGCAGUUCUUAAGAGAUAUUUUGCAGAUUUAAAGUUUGCCAGUUUAUUAUGCACCAACCGAAAAGGCAUAAGGGUCUUGACCAGCAGAGCAACAUGGAUCUACCAGUUUCAGAAAAUGAACCAGAUCAGCUCUCAACUGAUGGGGGUAAAACUGAUGAAAUGUUGAAAUCAAAGGCACGUGCUCAAAGUGUAAAUACGUAAAUUACGGGUCGAGUUUUUUAUUAUGUUUUAAGUAGCUGUUUGUUUGUCUUUAGUUAUUUAAAAUGAUAUGCAUCACAGUUCACAGUUAAACAAUGCUUUUGUGUUGUUGUGUUAGUUCAAGAAGGUUUAGGCAGUAUUUAUAAUAAAGCAUGAUAGGGUAUGUGAAACAGGGCAGAUCAAGACAAAUCAUCUUUUUUUUUUUAAGAAAAUGACUAAAUCUAUAAACCAAUGACUGAUUUUACGACUAAAAAUUACUGACGAAAUUUUCUAAAAGUGGCUAUUUACUGAUUGAUUAACCAGAUAUGAUCAGAUCAGUGUGUCGGCUCCCCUUGUGUACAAUAAGUGUAUAAUAUAUGAAAACAGCAGAAGGACAUGGGAUUUAUACACCUGCAAAUGGUAAAAUGGUUUCACGUCUUGGAAUAGAGAAUGAAUUUCAGUGGGAAUGUACCUAAAUUGGCCCUCUAAGGAUAGAAAUAUAUUGUUUUACUCACAUUUUACUAACAUCUGUACAUUUACUCUACUCACAGUAGAUAUAUAUUAUAGAAUACAUCAGUUAGUUCAUAAGUUGAUAUUCAGUCCAACAGCGUAGGGACUGUUUACUGUUUGUAUCACUCCGUGCGUCUACAUGACAGUAGGUGGCGAUUCAUUCAGUAACCGACUCAAGAAUCAUUCAUUCAACUGAUUUGUUCAAAACACUGAUUCGUUUAGGAGCAAAACGCCAUUGCAGGUAGAGAAUGUGGGUCUAUUAGCAGAAAAUCAGAUCAGAUUGGCAAAUUUCCUAAUUAGUUUAGAGGCCAAUCGUGUGACAUUAAAAAAAUAAGAUGAUUUUAGACAGCAUUUAAACAGUAAACAACCUGCAAUUUGAAUUUCUGUGACAAGUAAUAUGAAAUGCAAACAGGUCAUGACAUAAAUUACUUGUCCUACAAUACAUAGGGCUGAAUAUGGCAUUUCUGGGAUAAAGCACUUUCAAAUCAAUGCAACGUUGUAAAUAACCUCUUGAUUUUUUUCUUAUUAGAUGACUUCUGUUGGAAUGGAUCUACAGUGAUGACUGUUUGUAGUGCUCAACUCCAGUCCUGGGGACUCACAGUGCUGCACAUUUUGUUUCUCUCUCUUAUUUGAUAGACCUAGUAUCUGAAACGUAUUCAAUCAUUCAUCAUGUUCUGGAACUUAAGUGGCCAGAAAUCACAAGAUGUCAAGAAAAAACUUUGCCAUGCACGGUACAUUAAUUGCAUAUUACAUCAAAUUUGGUAGUUAAACUUAAAGUGUUGCACAUUUAGUUGGUGCAUUUACAAAAAAAGUAUUUUAAAACUUAAUUAGAAGCAUCGCAAUUACUAAAAUGUGUUGUCUGUUACAUAGGGACUACUGAACAUACAUUUAAAAGUGCAAAGUAUUAAUAAUUUGUUAAGAAAGCUCUGUAUAUACUUGUAAUUUUACACCACUAUGAUGUAAGUGUAUUGAAUGAUCAAAAGUUCUACACACACUUGCGAUCUUCACUCCCACUUCAACCAAAUACAGGAAAUACAUGAUUUAAGUAAAUGCAUCAAGCUUAAUUUUUUGUAUUGGGACCGGCCCUAUUUUUGCAUGUCACCUUCUGAUGAUGUCUGGCAGAACUCAAGUCACCUAAACUGAGGUGGUUAUUUUGCCUAAUAAGCAUCUGCAAAAAUAAGAUGCUCUUACCGCUCACAGCUUAGAAUGUGUCGGCGAUUGGCCAUGACCUCUUUAAACUCAGGAUGUAGAAGAAUGUCCUUUUCUGUCUGUUUGAGAACACAAAAAGUAUUAGUAUAGUUCUUAGUUUUAAAUAAUUAAGGUCUGACUGCAAACGAUUCUGCAUAAAUGAUAAAGUAAGACACAAUGUGUCAACUUCAUCUUUUACAUAGUAUUGAUGGGAGGAAUGGAGCUUUUCAAAACUCAAUAAAUUCAAAUGAAUCAAUGAUUUGCAAAAUUAUUCACUGUUUCAAAGAGAAAUGCCACAUGCUGAUGACACCUACUGGUCAAAAUGGUGUAAAUGUAGCAAGAAUGCAGUGCAAACAUGUAAUGACACCUAUUACAAAUCGAUUGCAAAUGUUGCAAUUGUUAUUAUAUGUAAUGUACCAUUAAAUAUGAAGUGUCUGUAAAA